rnacentral:rRNA from 1 species
AUUGAACGCUGGCGGCAGGCCUAACACAUGCAAGUCGAACGAGUGGCGGACGGGUGAGUAAUGUCUGGGAACCUGCCUGAUGGACGGGGAUCACUACUGUAAACGGUAGCUAAUACCGCAUCCCCUCCGAUGUGCCCAGAUGGGAUUAGCUUGUUGGUGGGGUAACGGCUCACCAAGGCGACGAUCCCUAGCUGGUCUGAGAGGAUGACCAGCCACACUGGAACUGAGACACGGUCCAGACUCCUACGGGAGGCAGCAGUGGGGAAUAUGGGACAAUGGGCGAAAGCCUGAGGCAGCCAUGCCGCGUGUAUGAAGAAGGCCUUCGGGUUGUAAAGUACUUUCAGCGGGGAGGCGUUACCCGCAGAAGAAGUACCGGCUAACUCCGUGCCAGCAGCCGCGGUAAUUC